GACGAACCGUGCGAACGUUGUUCGGAAUCACUGGGCUUAAAGGGCGCGUAGGCGGGCUGUCAAGUCUGGGGUGAAAUGCCGCGGCUCAACCGUGGAACUGCCUUAGAUACUGACGGCCUCGAGGAAGGUAGGGGCAUGCGGAACUGUAGGUGGAGCGGUGAAAUGCGUAGAUAUCGAGAGGAACACCAGAGGUGAAGACGGGUUGCUGGGCCGACACUGACGCUGACAGCGCGAAAGCCAGGGGAGCAAACGGG
rnacentral:rRNA from 1 species